rnacentral:lncRNA from 1 species
UAGCUCCUCCUUCCCGCUUCAGCAGGUCCAGGCUCUGCGCCAGUGCAUCCUUCUCCAAGAGUGCGCUGCCUGGGCCCGCUUGCCCUGGAGUUAACUUCAGCAGUCAACGGAGAGAAGAGUGGAAACCUUACUGGAUGCGGACAGGAGAGCCAGUUACUGAAAGCAGAUAUAACGCGGAUCCUGUAAAGAGUGGUGUGUAUCCAAAAAAAAAAAA